rnacentral:rRNA from 1 species
AUUGAACGCUGGCGGAAUGCUUUACACAUGCAAGUCGAGCGGCAGCGCGGGGGCAACCCUGGCGGCGAGCGGCGAACGGGUGAGUAACAUAUCGGAACGUACCCCGUCGUGGGGGAUAACACAGCGAAAGCUGUGCUAAUACCGCAUACGACCUGAGGGUGAAAGCGGGGGAUCGCAAGACCUCGCGCGAUGGGAGCGGCCGAUAUCGGAUUAGCUUGUUGGUGAGGUAAAGGCGCACCAAGGCGACGAUCCGUAGCUGGUCUGAGAGGACGACCAGCCACACUGGAACUGAGACACGGUCCAGACUCCUACGGGAGGCAGCAGUGGGGAAUUUUGGACAAUGGGGGCAACCCUGAUCCAGCCAUUCCGCGUGAGUGAAGAAGGCCUUCGGGUUGUAAAGCUCUUUCGGCAGGAACGAAACGGCAGGCUCUAACAUAGCCUGUCAAUGACGGUACCUGAAGAAGAAGCACCGGCUAACUACGUGCCAGCAGCCGCCGCCG